ensembl:scaRNA
UAGUCCUGGCCUAUGCCAUUUCUGCUCCCCCGUGCUCAGUCCUAACAGGGUAGUCUGGCAGGGCACACAGCAAUCUCCCUCUCAGUUUAGGAGGGCUGUCCAAAGAAUAGGGCUGGCAAGAGAGUACAAU